rnacentral:rRNA from 1 species
GACCCGUCUUGAAMCAMGGACCAAGGAGUCUAGCAUGUGUGCGAGUCAUUGAGAUUACAUUUAAACUGAAAGGCGCAACGAAAGUGAAGGCGUGCGCUUGUCGCGCGCUCAGGGAGGAUGGAGUCGAGUUUCACUCGGUUCUCGCACUCCCGAGGCGUCUCGUUUCCAAUCAGUGAAUGCAGGCGCGCUCUGAGCACAGAUGCUGGGACCCGAAAGAUGGUGAACUAUGCCUGGUCAGGUCGAAGUCAGGGGAAACCCUGAUGGAGGACCGUAGCGAUUCUGACGUGCAAAUCGAUCGUCGGAACUGGGUAUAGGGGCGAAAGACUAAUCGAACCAUCUAGUAGCUGG